UACCCAUCACACUGAUUGAUCUGUGA
rnacentral:piRNA from 1 species